rnacentral:rRNA from 1 species
AUUGAACGCUGGCGGCAGGCUUAACACAUGCAAGUCGAGCGGGGUGAUGGUGCUUGCACUAUCACUUAGCGGCGGACGGGUGAGUAAUGCUUAGGAAUCUGCCUAUUAGUGGGGGACAACAUCUCGAAAGGGAUGCUAAUACCGCAUACGUCCUACGGGAGAAAGCAGGGGAUCACUUGUGACCUUGCGCUAAUAGAUGAGCCUAAGUCGGAUUAGCUAGUUGGUGGGGUAAAGGCCUACCAAGGCGACGAUCUGUAGCGGGUCUGAGAGGAUGAGACGCCACACUGGGACUGAGACACGGCCCAGACCCCUACGGGAGGCAGCAGUGGGGAAUAUUGGACAAUGGGGGGAACCCUGAUCCAGCCAUGCCGCGUGUGUGAAGAAGGCCUUAUGGUUGUAAAGCACUUUAAGCGAGGAGGAGGCUCUUUUGGUUAAUACCCAAGAUGAGUGGACGUUACUCGCAGAAUAAGCACCGGCUAACUCUGUGCCAGCCGCCGCCGUAA